UUGCAUGUUUUUUAAGGUGGGAGAGGAAAAGUUUUUAAUCAAGAAAGUUCAGCUUCUUUCAGGUUAAAAACUUUGGGAAAUGUGUUUUCUAACGUUCAAUUAUUUGUGAAAUAUUAAGAAAGAGAGAAAGGCGGAUUCGGAUUUUAAAUUAAAACACAAUUAAACCAUGGUGAAAAUUCUGACCCCUGUGGAACCCCAGAUGUUAUUGGUUUAGCAGAGGAUAAAGAGUCGUGAUAUUACAUAAAUAAUCGUUAAACCAAGCAAGUUCUGUUCUCCGUAUCUAAAAACACAUCAGUUUAGCCAGAAGUAGACUUAUAGAAUCAGAGACUUUUCUCGCCUAUGGUUAAUUUAAAACGAAAAAGACCGAAUGAAUAAUCUUCUUAAGGGAGAAUUUAUAGUAUACAAUCGUUAGCCCGUGGAAAAAUCCACGGAUUCGCCCGUCCUUUUUAUACCGCAUCACGUGCGUCUCGCUACUUGCGCAGCUAAGCUAUCACUUUGCGUGACAGACACACAGACAGACGUAUACGGGUAUUAUAAUAUAGAUUUAUUACUCGGGUAAAAGGGCGGCAUCAAUAUUUCUGAAUAUUGUGCAAUGUGAUUGGUUUGAACUCAUGUCACAGCGGCCAAUAUUCCACGGUAUUGCCCGCUACCAUAGCAACCUUGUUUAAAGUUUAAAUAUGGUAGCUUUAAGUGUAAAUAAACACGGAAAAAAGUAAGCAAAACGCAAAAAUUGAAAGUUACUUUUGUGUUUUUAAGAGUUCAUGUUGCAGUUACAAUAAAAUCGUGUGAUGUUUACACGAUAUUUGGUUUAAAAAAAUUUAUAUUAGUUAGUUCGAAUGUACGUUCCAUAUGGAAAUAGUUAUGGGAUUUCUAUAAAAACAUGGUUUCUACGUCCUGCUUAUAAUGUUAUAUUAUUGGUCGUAAAAUGCAGUACCCGGAUAAUAACCCGGGUACUGCAUUUCGAACCUUCGAAUAUUGGCCUCCGUCACGUAUUACCCUCACAAGCUUGGGCAAUACUUUGACGUCGGUCAAUAUUCUCCGGUAUUGCCCUCAUAAACAGUUAUUAUAGGGUUAGUAUUAAAUGCUGCUAGCGUCCCUAUUCCAUCUCUUCUCAUAUGUAGAAAAAGAGAAGGAAGUUCGUAAUAAUGUUUUUAAUUUUAUUUUCUCCAACACAUAAUUUUAUCACCGGUUUUAGUUUAUUAUUUAGAUUUUCAAUGUGAGUCAAUGAGAGAACAAAUUUGUUUGUAUAUAAUUUACUGUCUCUAUAAUAAUAGCCGUCGUCUGUCUGUCUGUUCAAAAGGGUUACCGAUAUUCCUUUGAUCUUUCCGCGAAUUUUUAGAAAACAGGGGGUUGUUUAAUGGAAAACUUUAUAAUUAAUUGAACUAAACUCAAGAAAUUAAUUUAUUACCUUAUUUAAUUUAAUUACUUUAAGUUAUGAACCUUGAUGAAAAAAAUAAAUUAAGAGAUAAAAAUGAAUGAAUUACUUUAAUACGCCAUUUUUAAUAAUAGUUACCCCCGUGACCUCAAUCGCCGUUUAUCGCAUGUUUUAACCCUCACCGGAUAAAUAUUUACAUAAAUUAUCCUGUUCCUCCCUGCACUUGUGCCUCGAUUUAAUUACCCAAUCAACAGUCUUGAUUAUAUGUAUAAGCCAAUCAAUAAGCAUUGCAUUUUCCGCGGCAAUUGUUACACUUUUACUGCCCGGAUAAGAAAAUAGAAAAUACGAUGUAGCAACGAAGUUAUGGCAAGAUAAGACAAGAAAUUUUCCUGAAUAAUUCUUUGGAAAGUAUCUCAUUAAUUAUUUGCCGUUUUUACCCUUCCUAAUUUCUACUUUUGAAAUUAAUUUCUAUUUCUACUUGUGAGAAUACAAUUAGCUAGCUAGCUAGCUACAUCUUUGGUGUUUGCUUAAUUUUAGUUUGUUGUUUAUUAGCUGCGUCAAUUUUUAUUCUUUAGCUAGCUACGUACCUAUAGCUGUGGGCUACAUAUAGCCUCUUUCAUCACCUUAAACUUUUGCAUAUAAUUUUUUGUAAUGUUGUUAUUUUUUUCUUUUUUUUUCAAUUUUUUUGGAGGUUUUUUUUUUCCAUUGAAAACCGUCUUUAUCUUUCCCACCAUUUUUUUGCCAAAAUUGAAAGGACCGGUUGGAAACCGGCCCUUUAUGUACAUUUCGGUACUCCUUGUACCGAGCAUAGGUUGGAAACCGGCCCUUUAUGUACAUUUCGGUACUCCUUGUACCGAGCAUAGGUUAGUUCCUAAAAAUAAAAUGGUGUGACAGUAAGAAUAAACUGUAAGAUAGAUUAAAAUCUUGCAUUUGGAGAUUUAAAGAUCUUUGAUGGAUGGUUACAAUGGAUUACUUACAUCUGUACAACCACCUUCAACCACCUUCUCUACAACAUGUUCCUCUUCAUUUACACGUCCCUCCUGGACCACGGCUUCUUUGACACUUUUGUCCACCACAAUACCCUCUUUUAUGUGUUCCGCCAUUAUAAUUUUGUAUUGUUUGACUAAAAGGAAAAAAAUAGAGGGUGAGUAGUGAUCAUGUUUUUCAAUACAGCAGUAGUACAGCAAAGACAUGGUUUUGUACCCCCGUUUUUGUCUUCAUUUUUUGCAAGUACACAAAAUUGUUGUAUUUUUAAGUGAAAUAAAAAAGUAGAAAACAUGUUUUAAGCCACGGAAUUAUGCACCCCACCCUAUAAAACACUCAGCUAAUUAAACACAUUCAAAAAAAUGGAAACACAGUAAUGAGAAAUAACAACAUGGUGAAGUAGGGAGUAGAACUGUUUUUUUAAGUGACAAUUAAUUUGAACAGGACAAUUAAUUUGAACAGAUUACUGAACAUGGCAAACAUACCUUCAAAGAGGUACUCAGUAAUUUGCCUGAAACGCAACACACAUACCUAUCAAGAGGUACACAAUAACUUGUUGCAGUACAGCCCACAUACCUUUCAAGAGGUAAACAGUAACUUGCUGUCAAUCAUUGUAUCAGUAAUAGAAAAUUAAAAUAUUUACAACACUUGUGGAAAAACAACAUUCUUUGUGAAACAUCUAUUCCCUACAUAACCUUGUUGAUAAGUACUGACAACCUUUACCUUUACUGCAGCAAAUGACCGUGCUCGUGAAAAAGCAACAUACAAUUGUCCAUGGCUAAAGCAAGGUCUACGCAAGUAUAUACCAACUUUCUCUUUUGGCCUUGACUCUUAUUUAUAGUCAAUGCGUAAGACAAUCUUAAAGGAAACUGGGUGCGUUUAAUUUAAAAGGGUAGAUUUGUAUCAUUUGGACAGAGGAACACUCUCGGAAUUAACACAGGAUCACCUCUACGGAUAUCGGUAAGAAUUUCACAAUCGAUAACAUUUGCACGCAGAUUCCGAACCAUUAACCUUGUACCAUUACAAAGACCGUCUUUAAGGGACAGAUUUCUUAACAACAUUACAACACAUCCAACUUUGACAUUUAAUUGGUGUGGUGGCAUACCACUUGGAGUUAAGGAAUUAAUAAACUCCAUGGGAUAUAAAUCAAUUUCUUCUUGAUCAUCCGAAACAACAGAGAGAGGUAGGAAGCAGUUAAUACGAACACUAUAAAAUGUUCGGGGGACCAGCAAGCCUGAACCUGUUAUAUUUUUAUAUUACCAUCAUUUUAAUUAUUUCCUUUUUUCUAGAAAGCUUAAAAACUGAGUUAAUAAAUGAAAUUUUAUCUUGGAAACUUUAUUCCUGAUUUAGUUCAAGAAGUUAAAAAGGUGCAGAGCUCUCUUCGAAAUAAUGCAGGAUGACGUAAAAAAUCUUCAAAGAAUGGUUAAAAUAUUAAGUAUGCGGACCAAGUGAGACAUUAAUGGCAUAGAAUUCUUAUAUUCAAUGCAAUAUAUUGUUAACUAUUUGACUUCAUUUAAACUACGUCUUUUUUUAAAAAGCAUCCAGUACUACGAAUUCCCUUCUCAUUUUGUAGCGAAUUCUUUUUUCUUUCUUUUUAUGAAGUACUUAUCACAUGUAGUUACACAAAUGUCUAAACCCGACCAUUUCACAUCAUAAACAUUUAAGUCGUAAAAAGCUGUUGUAUUAUGAACUUACACAGUACCACAUUAUAUAUCAGAUUCACAUGUAUCAUAAUUACCCAGGACACAAAAUGUA